GACGAACGCUGGCGGCGCGCCUAACACAUGCAAGUCGAACGAGCGGGAGAGAGCUUGCUUUCUUGAGCGAGUGGCGAACGGGUGAGUAACGCGUGAGGAACCUGCCUCAAAGAGGGGGACAACAGUUGGAAACGACUGCUAAUACCGCAUAAGCCCACGACCCGGCAUCGGGUUGAGGGAAAAGGAGCAAUCCGCUUUGAGAUGGCCUCGCGUCCGAUUAGCUAGUUGGUGAGGUAACGGCCCACCAAGGCGACGAUCGGUAGCCGGACUGAGAGGUUGAACGGCCACAUUGGGACUGAGACACGGCCCAGACUCCUACGGGAGGCAGCAGUGGGGAAUAUUGCACAAUGGGGGAAACCCUGAUGCAGCGACGCCGCGUGGAUGAAGAAGGUCUUCGGAUUGUAAACUCCUGUUGUUGAGGAAGAUAAUGACGGUACUCAACAAGGAAGUGACGGCUAACUACGUG
rnacentral:rRNA from 1 species